UCUAGAAGCUAUUAUACAACUUACAAUUAUACAACAUAAAGCUGCACAAAUCAAUAUUUUUUAAAUAAUUAAUGGCUCAAAUGUAACAUGAAACAUGUAACAUUAAAGGUGUUACUUGCUUCAUUAAAAAAGACUACCAGGGCACCAAUGCACCCACAGAGAAUUAGCACUCAACUCUGCUGUUCCUCCCUGGUCCAAUUUUUGCUUCUUUCAGCUCAUUGUUUUGGUUUUAGAGCCUGUAACUUUGAUGUGUCUCCAGCAGCCAGCUGUGUGAAAAAGUCCUGAUAAACUGACUGUACACUACCUGCACAGCACCAAACAACACACAAAGAAGUUAUACUAUAGCUGGUGAACACAGUGGAGCAUUUAGCAACUAAAGAAAAUAUUUUCACCUAUACUUUUCAAAAAAAAUGGGCUGCUCCUUUUGCCUUAACUGUAACCACAUUAGUCACAUUGUUAGCAUGCAUCAUCUUGAUGACGUUGCUAGGCUAAUUUGCUGGAGAAAUGGAAGGGCUAAUGUUGCAGUAUCUUUUAACGGUAAUACUAAUUAGUAACUACUCGGAGAUAUUUGAUAGCUGUUUGAUAACUGAAAGCACAACUUUUCCAUAGGAGAAAAUGAAAAACAGUGCCAGUGGCUUUUUUUCCAUAGGUCUUGUUAGCCAUAGCCUCUUUAGCUAACCUCCUCUCAAGGCCUCAUCAAUAUCACAUCAGACUUGUACCAACCAAUAAGAAUGAAGCAGGGUGGGACCAAGAGCUGGCUAACGUCGGGCAAACGUUAGCCUAGCCAACGUUAGCCUAUGGUCCGUGUCAUCUGUCUCCAUGACUCCCUGCAGUAGCGCUCACCUGCCGCUGCCAAAGCACUUGGCCCCAGCGCUCAAGAGGUCUUUGGUUGACACACUUAUUAGUGUUUUCCUACUUCUGUUUCUUUUCGGCACCUGAGGACAAAUGAUUUUAUGUUUCAGGAAAAAUACAAACUUAUGGUACCGCUGAUAUUUACUAGCUAGUAAUUUUUCACUUUCAAGAUUUUAGCAAUUGUAGCAGCUGAUGCUUUGUGCUAUGUUUAGUUCCACAUACAAUUCCAUGGUAAAUGAUGAUGUAUCAUUUUCACAACAAGAUGCCGAUGCACCUGUGGUGAGUAUUAUUGUUGACUGCAGCGCUAUGUCGGCAAUAUGGCCAUGACAAUCAUGAUGACGCUAAUUGAAUUCUAUCAAUCAAUUAUUUUCUCUUUUUUUUCUAUUCCGAUUAGCAGGCAAAACACUGCUCAGAUUUUUUUUCGUCUUACUGGAGACCGUGGGAAACAGCAGUCUCAGCUGUUAUCUCUGAGUAUGAAAGUGGAUGCUUAAAUUCAUUUUGUUAUUUUGAACAUGUGACAAAAUUACAAAUUAGCAUGAUAUUUAUUGCUUUUUUCAGAUAAUGGCCUUUGCAAGGGCUGUAUGGACAGAAGGAGAUAAGCAGUAUGAAGAUGUCAUUUCAUACAACUGGAUAAAUAUGAGGACAAAGGUGGUGCCAAAAAGCCAAGUGCUAACAGCACGUAAAUGAUGGAAAAAUCCAGCAGAGGACUGGCUCUCUUUCCAUCUUGUAAAAAUUAAGAUUACAUCAGGAAUUAAUCACUGUCUUUUUUUGUGGGUUUUUGUUUUGUUUUUUCAGUGUACUUGUUUAAUGUGUCAGUAAUCUUUGUAAUAGAAAAGGAAAAAAUUUGCGAAGACUACAAUUAUGCAUCCGCACAAACAGAUGAAGAUUCCAUUAUCCCAGAAGCAAGUGGCAAAAGAAUUGUCAAAAGGAAGAGAUAUGAGGAUUAUAUAGAAGGACCAUUUCCCUCAGAAGAAGACAAUGACACAGCUGUCAAGAGGAAGAGAUGCAAAGGGAGAUCCGAAAGCAGAGAGCGUUGCAGAUUCUUCUCUCCAUCUCUUGUCAACCAGCAAAACACAUCUACAGCCUAUGUCUAUAGCGAAAGUCAGGAUGCAGUUGGUGGGCACGUUGUGGAAAGAAAUGCUGGUCUUAUUAUGAUCCAAUAAAUAGUCUGCUCUCUAAUGGAAUAAGGUAUGGAUAAUGUAUGUUUUAGCAGCAUCAUAUACUUCGUAAGAGGGCUGGAGAGUUAUUUGUCUGUUUCCCCUAAGGUCAACUUAUUAUCAGCAUCAAGGUUAUGUUCCAUUUCCAGCUCCAGACAUGAGUGUUACUGUUUAUGUAUUGACAACAUUUUGGAAUUUCAGAAGUGCAUUCUAGAGAAACAGGUGGAGAUAUUGGAGGAGGUCAAGUGUGUGGAGAUAUUGGAGGAGGUCAAGUGUGUUGGGAGAGCAGAGUCAAGGAACUCCAAUUAUCAUGUCAGCAGAAUGGGGAGGACGGAUGAAUUUGAUUGACUGGAGGAACAACUCAAAAGUGCUGAGGAAAGAAAUCUAAUUUUAAAGGAAACUGCACACUUGAUAACCCAAAUGAUUUGCUUAUACUCACUCACCCUGACACUAGAGCUGAUGAAUGUUGCUAUCUGUCUUUUGGUGCUGUUUAUGAUGGUAUAGCCUGAUGUUUUCUAUGGUCCUUUGCAUGAUAAUAUAUCAUUCCAAUUAACCUAGAUUUGGCCCUCUACAUGUAUGCUUACCUUUGAUUAUGGCACAAGGGAUAUAUCUUGUGUAUUGAUUAAUGCUCGGGCAUUUGUAGUUUUUGAUAUUAAUAUUUUCCAUACCUGUACUGAAAGCCAUUUUACAGUGAUGUUAAUGGAUGCUAAAUUAUAUCCGUUUAUGAAGUAAAAUUUCAAGUCUUGGUAAUUUACUCUUUACUGUCAGAUUGAACAGUUGAUCAGAAAUGGAGGCAAAAACAUAAAGACAGUGCAGCCAACAUCAUUGGACAGGGUCUUUACAAACAGUCUUGUGUCCAAGUUCAACAUGAAGGGCCACCGUUCCAAGAGAGCGUUUGAAACCAGUGCCUUGUACUCCAUUUUGAAUGCUGACAAGACAAUCUGUUGCUGACCAUUUAAAGCAUGACCCUGGUCGAUCUGGGAGUGGGAUUUAGAAACCCAAAAAUGUGGUCCAAAGCCUUUACAUUUGACUAGAUGGAGAAAUGGAGAAAAUAAAGGAGUUUGAAAAUAAACACACAAUUAAGUGUUAAGUAGGCAGAGGUUCUGAUGUAAAUUGAAGGGGAAAAAGAGGAACAGUUAAUACACAAUUCGUGAUUGUAGUCAUUCAUAACAAAAACACUGAAAACAGUGACACUUGUUUUUAAUUGUCAAAUGUUUAUUUUAUGGUUACUGCUUUGUCAACUGUUGUUUGCAUGGUUUCUAAAAGGUUUUUAAAUUUAGUUGAAGGACCAGUUUAGUUGAAAUGAAGUAGUUUACAAGACACUGAAACAACUGUACGAAAUGGUCUUUUUAACAUUCACUUUCAACUAAAACCAGACCUAGAUGGACAUUUGAAAAUAGUCACCUUUUCAACAACAUGAAAAAAACAUCUUUCACUUUCAACAUAUUUUAGAUGACUGGCAAAGCCGGGGGUUUUACAACUAUCAAGAUAAACUGCGUAUGAUGAACGCAUCGUGGGGGGUGGGGAAAAAGAAUCAAGCACUGAAAUGUGGGAACACCACAGUGAGGAUUUUUCAGGAUUUCCCAGCUGCUGUUCUCUGCAAGUGUAAAUGAUUUGACGGGAUGAAGAAACGCCUGAAGUCAAUCGGUGCUGAGUACAUGCAAGUCUACCCUGCCUCUCUCAAAUUCACUUACUGCAGCUCCACCAAGAUGUUUCAUCAUCAAGCUUUUUCUCUACAAUGAAUCUAUGUAGGUUAAAAUAAGGGUGAUGCCUCUUGGUGUCCGGAGCAGAUAGUUUUGAUGUCCCUUUUGAGAGCCCUUUCACUUGAGCUGUCUUCAGAUUAGAGAAGGAUAGUGUUAACUUUGAUGCCAAUGUUAGGCAAGUUAUGCCUUAAGUGCAUGCUUUUUUGUUACAUGUAUGAUAGUUGAAUGUUGGUUGUUACUCGGCUUUUCUUUUACUUUAAUGAGGUGUCAACUUAUGGGAAAAGAAUGUGCUCUGGAAAUAUCUUACUUUAUAGCUCAUGACUAUGUCAACAUUGAAUUUAUGCACCUGGAAUGUUAAUGGCGCCCACACAUCUGUUAGCCAGAGAAAGGUUUUGACUUAUCAGGGAGGGGCUACAUAUAGCAUUACUGCAGGAGACCAACUUAAAUGAUAAGGAACAGUGACAAAUGAUAGAUAGUUGUGUAAGACCAUGCUACUGUCUUCAUUCAAUAUAACCUCAGGAACCCGGUUACUCAGACGAGACACUGGAGGAUUAACCCUUCCAUUCUGAUGGCUCAAAAGUUCUUAUCUUAUUUCACAGAGGAAUUUAAAUCAUUUCUAUCUAUUAAUUCAACCUCUACACAAGAUCUAUCACUGCUUUAGGAAACAUGCAAAGCCUUUUCAAGAGGUCUUAUCAUAUAUGUCCAGUAAGAGGCAUAGGCAAGCUGAACAAAGGGAGAUCUUAGAGCCCAGACUUAAGCUGGUUGAAAAAGAUAUGUUCAAAGUCUGUCUACUGUACAUGGAAACUUAAAGAAAUAUCUGUACUCUGCUCUGUUUUAGACUCUUUUACCAAAGCAUGCAGAGGGAUUUGCCAAACAAAGACUAUACAAACAUGGUGAAAGCGGGGAAAUAGCAUAUUUGACAAAGAAAAAGCGAACUCCCAAACUAUCUCUUCAAUACAGACAGACAUGGUAACCAAUCUUUUGACACUGCAACCAUUAAUGAUACAUUUGAGAGCCUCCAUGAAAAUACACAUAUAAAUCAGAGCUACAUGCUGAUGCACCAGAGUUAAUGGACACCUUUUUCGUCCUCCCUCUAUCUCCCCAGCUCGAUCAGAAAUCUACUCUUUGAUGCUCCUACCUAGGAAAUAGGUGCUUGAUGCUAUUAAGGGGCUACAGUCUGGCAAAACACCUGAGUCAGACAGGCGCAGUAGUGAGUUUUAUAAAGAGUUCCAGAAUAUAUUAGUUGGCCCUCUGCUGAAUAUGUUAAGUGAUUUCUUUAAAAAAAGGCGUCCUGCCUAUGUCUUUAAGGGAGGCAAACAGCCUGAGGACUAUGCCUCCUACAGGCACAUCUCUUUGCUAGACGUGGAUCUGAAACUUCUCUACUUGCAACACAAUUGGAAUGCUUACUCCCUCUACUUAUUCAUGAGCACCAAUUGGUUUUAUUAAAGUUCGCAAUUCAUGUAAAAGCAUGGGUAGAUUACUAAACAUACGUUCAUAGGCUACAUACACUUGGUCUAGGUGAAAAACGUAUUAAAUGAAUAAAGUUACUCUAUAAUAAUCCACUUUUCUAUAAUAAUCCUCUUUAUAAUAAUCUUUCUGCUGUACUCACCAACGGU